UACGAAGGGGGCUAGCGUUGUUCGGAAUCACUGGGCGUAAAGGGCGCGUAGGCGGCUUUGUAAGUCGGGGGUGAAAGCCUGUGGCUCAACCACAGAAUUGCCUUCGAUACUGCAUGGCUUGAGACCGGAAGAGGUAAGUGGAACUGCGAGUGUAGAGGUGAAAUUCGUAGAUAUUCGCAAGAACACCAGUGGGCGAAGGCGGCUUACUGGUCCGGUUCUGACGCUGAGGCGCGAAAGCGUGGGGAGCAAACAGG
rnacentral:rRNA from 1 species